rnacentral:rRNA from 1 species
GAUGAACGCUGACAGAAUGCUUAACACAUGCAAGUCGAUGGGGAAGUGGUGCUUGCACCAUGGCAACCAUGGCGGACGGGUGAGUAACGCGUAAAGGACUUACCUGCAGGACUGGGAUAACAGGGGGAAACUCCUGACAAGACCGGAUAAUGUCAUGGAGCUGCAUGGCUUUAUGAUGAAAGGAGACGCCUGCGGAGAGCCUUGCGUCCUAUUAGCUAGUUGGUGAGGUAAUGGCUCACCAAGGCGAAGAUAGGUAGCCGGCCUGAGAGGGUGGACGGCCACAAGGGGACUGAGAUACGGCCCUUACUCCUACGGGAGGCAGCAGUGGGGAAUAUUGGACAAUGGGGGCAACCCUGAUCCAGCAAUUCUGUGUGCACGAAGAAGGUUUUCGGAUUGUAAAGUGCUUUCAGCAGGGAAGAAGUAAGUGACGGUACCUGCAGAAGAAGCGACGGCUAAAUACGUG